CCUACGGGUGGCAGCAGUGAGGAAUAUUGGUCAAUGGCCGGAAGGCUGAACCAGCCACGCCGCGUGAAGGUAAGUGGCUUUCGGGCGGUAAACUUCUUUUGUCUGGGAGCAUUAAUGGUAACGCGUGGCCAGACGAGAGUACUGUACGAAUAAGCAUCGCCUAACUCCGUGCCAGCAGCCGCGGUAAUACGGGAGAUGCCAGCGUUAACGGGAUUUUUUGGGUCUGAAGGGGUCGGAAGCGGGGUGGAUAGUCGACGGUGAAAAGCCACCGCUCAACGGGGUGAAGUGCCAUUGAUACUGUCUUGCUUGAAUGCGGGUGACGUGGGAGGAAUGUGUGGUGUAGCGGUGAAAUGCGUAGAUAUCACACGGAACACCAGUUGCGAAGGCGGCUCA
rnacentral:rRNA from 1 species